UCCUAGCCAUGAUAACAGUGAAAAGCCUUUGCGAGCGGAAUACCAUUUUUUCUAGUUGUGGUAGAGCGACCAAAGGAAGAUCCUGCCACAAAAUAGAAAAAAGGUGUGACGCCACAAAGCUUGAAACGAUUAGCGAGAAUAGCU
rnacentral:misc_RNA from 1 species